GCCACUGCGCAUGCGCCCUGGGCGUGCGCCCGCCCCAGGAAGAGCGCUCUCGCGAACUGCGGCGGGGGCGGCCAGGCCACCGGAGGGAAGCGGGUGUGGUCCAGGCCGCCCGGGCUGCGGGGGCUGGGACCAACCUGGAAGGGCGGAGCCGGGGAAGGAAGGUUGUCCUGCCCGGCUGAGGGCUCCUCGGGUUCCGGAGGCCACAGUCAGGCCGUGCGGCGCCUCUUCAGGGCAGACCUGCCUCCAGGGCUGUCUCUGCUCUGCGGAGUCCUUUGCUCAGGGCGGAGGAUUUUCCUAUUGGCUGCGUUAUUUGAAUGGAAUUGAGGAGAGAUAGGUCGUGCAUUAAGCGCUUGUGAUUUCUCUCGCUAACGAACUCGGAUGAACUUACUGAGAACCUUUUAAAAGUGGGGUCUGGGUAGGCGAGGGCUUCGGUGGUAGUUACCUCAGAUCUCAGCCCAGGGUGACCGCCUGGUGACAGGUUGACCUGUGGUACUUGCAGUGGCUAUCAGCCUUCACUGUGGAAACGUAUUUCCUCUUAUGCUUGUUUUUUGUUGCUGUGUGUGUGUGUGUGUGUGUGUGUGUGUGUGUGUGUUUUCCCUCUCAGGCGUAUUUUGGGUCCUCUUUCCCUUCCUUCAGUGCUUUAAGCCUGUCCAGUACUGCCCCGUGCUUAGCUCAGCCUUGUUACUGGCCCUGACCUUUUAAGGGAUUUCUGGUUCCUGCUCCAUCGCUUUCUAAGGAUGGGUAAAGACCCAGCUGCUGCUAGAGUUCAAAAGGAAUGUUAAUAUUACGCAGUUGAUUUAACUGGUAUUUAUUGAAUACUUACUAUGAGCCAGUCAUUGUUCUAGGCACUGGUGAUAAAAUGAUGAUAACGACAUUUUAAAACCACCUUUUGAGGUCACGUGUUAAAAAACCAAUUUGUCGCAAUCAUAGAGGGUUUUAAACUUUGUCUUGUAUGAUACCACGCACACAUGAUUUAUAACAAAUACUAAUGUCUUUUGAACCAUCUAUUUGUAAUCUCCACCAAUUGAUAUUUUUCUAAGCAAUACAUUGCUUUCACCCACUAUUUUCUAGAGUAUUUAGAGCCAAAAUAAGAAAUCGUAAAAAGUUACCACUGAAUGGAACUUUAGGGAUCAUUUAGACUGAGUCCCCAAAGAACUAAUUGAUUUACUUAAUUUUUCUCAGCAGCAGAAUUAGAAUUCCUUCAGCAAAUAAGUACCUGUACUGGGUCAUUCGUUGUUCUGGAUGCUGGAAAUAUAGCACUAAACAUUUAAGCUUCUCUUAUUCUCCAGUAAACUACAUUACAGCUAUCAUAUUGAGAAAUUUUUUAAAAAUUGAGUGAAGUGUGAUUAGGAAACCACCUGACUGUGAGACUGAAUUUUCUGAACAGCAGUUACUGGAUUAGUAAUAGAACCCAAGUGAGAGUAAAAAUACUUCCUCUGAAAUUACUGUAGGAAUAGAAAGUGACUAUAAAAUGCAUAAAAUGCAGCAAUAAUAAUAUCAGACCUUUGAAUAAGAUGGUGUUAGGUGCUGGAGAACUUGUAGCACUAAAAUACAAAAUUCCUAUCCACUUUAAGAACUUCAGAGCUCUUAGAAUAAAAGAAAGGAAUUUGAAGAUUGCCUUGUCAGCUCUUCUAUCUACCUAGAAAAACUGACAGCUUAUCUUUACUAUUUCCCAAGAAUGUUAUGGUCUAUUUGGUAGCUCUUAAAAGUACCCUGGAAUAUAGAUUGUUAUCUUAAGUUUUGAUUUGGUCAAGGGUUUGGUGGGAAGUAGGUUAUUUCUGACUCAACCUCUUACUUCAGGAGUAAAAUUCAUCAGUAAAACAAUUAAUUAGUUAAAUAUCAGUUUCCAAAAGCUACCAGUGGAAAACAAAACAAAACAAAAAUCCACCUGGGCUAUGAAUAUAUGCAAAUUUCACCGAGGUUCGUUUUCCUUCCCCAGCUCUAAGAGUCAAGAAGUUCUGUGUUAGUCUCAUUGGAAGUGCUUGUUAAACUGCCACUUGCUUUGCCUUUUUAGGGAGAUUUUUUUUUCUUUUUUUUUAACUGAAGUGUAGUCAGCUUACAAGGUUGUAUCAAUUUCUGCUGUACAACAUAAUGUUAUAGUCAUACAUAUACAUACAUAAAUUCCUUUUCAUUGUCUCUUCCAUUAUAGGUUACUACAAGAUAUUGAAUAUAGUUCCCUGUGCUAUACAGUAGAAACUUGUUUAUCUGUUUUAUAUGUAGUAGUAUCUGCAAAUCUCGAAUUUCCAAUUUAUCCCUUCCGACCCUUUUCCCCCCUGAUAACCAUAAGUUUGUUUCUUAUGUCUAUGAAUCUGUUUCUGUUUUGUAAAUAAGUUCAUUUGUCUUUUUUUUUUUUUUUUAGAUUCCACAUAUAAGUGAUAUCUUAUGGUAUUUUUCUUUCUCUUUCUAGCUUACUUCAUUUAGAAUGACCAUAUCCAGGUUCAUCUAUGUUGCUGCAAAUGGCAUUAUUGUUUUCUUUUUAAUGGCUGAGUAGUAUUCCAUACCAUAUAUAUAUCACAACUUCUUUAUCCAGACAUCUGUCAAUGGACAUUUAGGUUGUUUUCAUGCCUUGACUAUUGUAAAUAGUGCUGCUGUGAACAUUGGUGUGCAUAUAUCUUUUCGAAUUUGAGUUCCCUCCAGCCCAGGAAUGGGAUUGCUGUAUCAUAUGGAACCUGAAGAAAAGUUUACAGUCUGCUAGCAUUGUAAGAUAUUCAGUCCCACCUAGGCUGUUGACUGCAACCAUCACUGAACCACACUUUUAAACAACGUUUGCAGAGUAUCUCCUACCCAUAGAUAGAGACCUGGAUACUGGACAAUGUAGAGAUGAAUAAAUUGUUUUCCAAGAUUCUCAGAGCUCAAGUGAAGAUGAUUUCAGGGUCGAGAAACAAUAACAACUCUGUAGUGCCCAGAUCUUGAUUAUUAAAGGACCAGAUUUACUUCAAGAAGUGGCUGAUUUUGAGUCUGAGGCAGUUCAGUAAAAGGUGCGCUUGCAAGAUCUUAUGCCAGAAAGCAAGAAAGCCCUCGAAUAUAGGAGCCAUCUUGAAGCAUCUUCCAUUGACCAAAUUUGGCACAAAAGGAGCAUCCCUCCAAAAUAACUCAAUGACCAUAAAAUGUAAAAUAAAUGAAAAUCCAUCAGUUCUGGAGAGAGAGAGAAACUAUUUGCUACCAGUGGAGAUGACAUUAUAUCAACACUUUACUCUGGAAACAGGUAUAUAAAUGGAAGCUCAACUAACUUGCUGAAACUUCCAAACAGUAUUUCCUCGUGGUGAAGAGAGGGGACUUGGAUGUAUCUCUCCCAGACGUUGGUGUACAUGAGAAGGUGUAUCAGUGGGUGCUGACAGUGGAGUCGGGAGGACACCUCUUCCCACAAAAACUGUUAGGAACAAGUGGCCCAGAUUAGAAGUUAAGAAGAAGGAUGUCUACCUGGAGGAGAAUCCCUGAGCAGAGAAAGUAGACAGCAGAAGAAGAGGCAUCACCAAAUGUAAAGGUGUCUGGGCCAGACUUCUGCCUUUUUUGAUUAAACUGUAUAUCAUUGAAUGCCCUGGAGUUCAGAGAUCCUGUUAUACAGGGAGUAGCACAGCACUGUUAAUGUCACGUGUCUACUCUUCUGUCAAGACCUUUUCCAUUGUUCCGUAUUUGGAAUAACAUCUUCUUCAUCAUAUCUUCCCCAUCAUGUCUCCAUUUAAUUCACCAGUCUGGCCCCUACAAAAACCAGAGGGAUCCUGAAAGAUAAUCGUGGAUUACUGUAAACCCAACCAACAUGCAGCCUAAAUUGCUGUUACUGUGCCAGACAUGGUGUCUCAGUCCAAAUGGAACUGGAUAAUCUAGACAUUCUGCCAAACAUCUUCAUGGUCCACCAUAUUGAUAACAUCAAACUAAUUCAGUUAGAUGAUCAAACUAAUUAGACGGGAUGAAUCAAAAGUGGCAAGUACACUGGAGGCUUCAGUGAGACUCAUGCAUUCCAGAGGAUGGAAGGAAUGAUUUCUGUGGAAAUGUGGCUAUUGACAGUGGAUAGUAGUCCAAAUCUCAGUGUUCAAAGGGUGAACUCUUUUCUGAUCUGAGCUGGCCAAGAUCUCCAAGUGCCCUAUUCUACUGGAAGAGAAGUAGGGGUUUCCAGGAGAUGGAAAAAGUAUCCUCGUGGGUUGAAAGCAGAAUUGUGAAAUGGUCAAGAUCCCAGGUUCUGGAGACAGAAUAUUUGGCAUUUAAAUCCUGGUCUUGCUACUUAGUCCCUAGCAUGAUUUACAAUAGCCAAGAUAUGGAAACAAACUAAGUGUCCAUCAAAGGAUGAAUGGAUAAAGAAGAUGUGAUAUAUAUACAAUGGACUACUACUCUGCCAUGAAGAAAGAUGAAUUCUUGCUAUUAGUGACAACGUGGAUGGACUUUGAAGGUAUAAUAAAGGAUUCAUGUCUCAAUAAUGAAGAAGCAGAAAUAUGACUGCUUUGUGGUAGCCUUGUGUAAUCGAUGGCACUGUAUAUGAUCUGUAAGAGUUUGUGUGGGUAAGUUUUGAUAAAUUUUAACCUUUUAUAAUAGAUUUGUGUACAUUUUAUAGUAGUAAGUUAUAAAGUAGUAUCUACAUAUAUUUUACACAUUCAUGACAUGUCUUUUUCUUAUUUGAAAAAAUGUUUUUGUAGGCUAUAUGGUUGGUCUGU